rnacentral:snRNA from 1 species
GUGUUCUCUUUGACACACAGAUAGUAAAAGUAAAACUCUACAAAGAUUAACAUAGCUGUUGCAGAAAGAUGACCUACAAAUUGGUGAAGUUUGUUCUAUUUAU